GGCAGCAUGAGGCCACCUGACAACCACAGAAGAAGAAGAAGUCAGUGGCAGGUUGACAGACCUGCUUCGCCAGUUCGUCCUCCUCGGAACAGCAGCGCUGAACUCUUGAUACCGAAGACCGAACCGUCCCACUGUCAGGUAGAGGAGUAUUGUGUCCCUGUCAGCCGGGCGUCUGUCGCCUUCCCCCGCUCUCUGCUGUUCCUGACCCCGUGAUGACUGAAUCGAGCUAAGUUGGCUAAUGACGCUAGCUACAAGUUGAACUUCGGGCAGGAGCUUCUAGGUGCUGGUCCAUGGGUGUGAGUCGAUUGGAUAAAUUUUACAGAAGACUACUCCUUACCAAACUCUUCAUUGGAGGAUGGGGGACGCCGGAAGACCUGAAGAGAAUCUUUGAGUUUCGAAAAAUCAUUGGAAAUAGAGAACGUUGCAGGUCUCUGGUGCCUGAGAACUAUCCAGUGUAUAUAAACAAGACAGAGGACCACUCUGACUGUCAGAUUCACAAUGGCUUCUUCUUCUCUCCCCUGGAGCACCUGGUUCCUGGAAUCUUACCGCCAGAGGCAGUCAAAGCCAGGUUCCAGUUUAUAGUUCCUAAGAGAUGGAAAAAGAACAGAUCAGUAUGUAUCCACUUGGCUGGGACUGGAGACCAUUUUUUCUGGCGUCGACGGACCCUAAUGGCCAGACCCAUGAUUAAAGAGGCAGGAAUGGCUUCGCUGCUCCUGGAGAAUCCUUAUUAUGGCUAUCGUAAACCCAAAGACCAAUUGCGGUCCAGUCUAAAAAACGUGUCAGACUUAUUUGUGAUGGGAGGAGCUUUGAUCCUGGAGUCUACAGUUCUUCUGCAUUGGCUGGAGAGAGAAGGAUACUGGCCAUUGGGAAUGACUGGCAUCUCAAUGGGAGGAUAUAUGUCAUCUCUGGCAGUGACUAACUGGCCGAAGCCCAUCCCAUUAAUCCCAUGUUUGUCCUGGUCGACUGCCUCAAGUGUUUUUACCACGGGCGUGUUGAGUAAAGCAGUGAACUGGACAGAGCUGGAGAAGCAGUAUGCCAUUAACUCUGUUUAUGAAGAGGAGAUCAUUAAGCUGCUGGAGUACUGUGGGGCUGAUUCCUUUAAGAUGAAUACAGAGGUUGUGGUUGGCUCUGAGGAUGGUGGAGUUGGAGAUAGGAUAGACCAUUUAUUGUCAUCACAUGUUAACACCGAUGGAAUGAACUUGGACUCCCUACGAAAAAGCCUUCGUGCAGAAAACACGCUGCAUGAGAAAAAAACGGAUACCACCAAGUACUGUCGACCAUCAUUACACAAAGAGUCUAUAAGCUUCAUGAAGGGAGUAAUGGAUGAAUGUACACACAUGGCCAACUUCUCUGUCCCUGUAGACACCAGCCUCAUUAUCGUGGUCCAGGCCAAAGAGGAUGCUUACAUCCCUCGUACUGGGGUUCUAAGUCUGCAGGAGAUCUGGCCUGGAUGUGAGGUCCGGUAUCUCAAUGGAGGACACAUAAGUGCAUAUCUGUUUAAACAGAACGUCUUCAGACAGGCCAUUUAUGAUGCAUUCAACAGAUUCUGCCUGAAGUAUCCCAACCAGCAUUAGCAGUGGCAGGGCCAGUGUCUGGACAAUGGGAACGGCACUGCCACAAUGUGUCUGAGAUAUAAAGGUUCUCUGCACAUAAAGACCAUGGAUCUGUUGUAGCCACUCCUCCAGUUUGGGGGUCACUGCCCCCAGUGCUCCGAUCACCACAGGCACCACUGUGGCCUUCACCUUCCAAGCCUUCUCCAGUUCUUUUCUGGGUCCUUGGUAUUUCUCUAGUUUCUCAUGUUCCUUUUUCCUGAUGUUGCCAUCGCUUGGUAUUGCCACAUCCACCACUACGGCUUUCUUCUGCUCUUUGUCCACCACCACAAUGUCUGGUUGGUUCGCCAAUACCAUUCUGUCUGUCUGUAUCUGGAAGUCCCACAGGAUCUUGGCACGCUUGUUCUCUACCACUUGGGAGGUGUUUCCCAAUUUGACCUUGGGGUUUCCAGUCCAUACUCCACGCAGAUGUUCCUGUAUAUUAUGCCAGCCACUUGGUUAUGGCGUUCCAUUUAUGCUUUCCCUGCCAGCAUCUUACACCCUGCAGUUAUGUGCUGGACCGUCUCAGGGGCCUCUUUGUACAGUCUACACUUUGGGUCUUGUCUGGUGUGGUAGAUCUGGGCUUCUAUGGCUCUGGUGCUCACGGCCUGCUCCUGUGCAGCCAGGGUGAGUGCCUCUGUGCUGUCCGUCAGCCCAGCCCUUUUUUUUCACCGGGAUUUGUUCUUGCUAUUGAGCUGGCUUCUUAGGACUUGCCUUACUCGUUGGAGGUAUUUGGCUGUUGCCACAUUUCUUGUUGCCUGUUCAAGGUUGCCAUUCGCUUGUGGUAUUCCAAGGUACUUGUAACUGUCCUCAAUGUCUGCUAUUGUUCCUUCUGGGAGUGAGACCCCUUCUGUGUGGAUUACCUUGCCUCUCUUCGUCACCAUCCUCCCACAAUUCUCGAGUCCGAAUGACAUCCCAAUGUCUGAGCUGUAGAUCCUGGUGGUGUGGAUCAGUCGAUUUCUCGCUCAUUCUUGGCGUACAGCUUGAUGUCAUCCAUGUAGAGGAGGUGACUUAUGGUGGCCCCGUUUCGGAGUCGGUAUCCAUAGCCAGUCUUGUUUAUUAUUUGGCUGAGAGGGUUCAGACCUAUGCAGUACAACAGUGGGGACAGUGCAUCUCCUUGGUAUAUGCCACAUUUGAUGGAUACUUGGGCAAGUGGCUUCCCAUUGGCUUCAAGGGUGGUUCUCCACAACCUCAUCGAGUUUGCAAUGAAGGCCCCUAGAAUUCUAUUGAUGCUGUACAGCUCCAAGCAUUUAGUGAUCCAUGUGUGUGGCAUUGAGUCGUAGGCUUUCUUGUAGUCGAUCCAGGCUGUGCACAGGUUGGUGUGUCGCAUUCUGCAGUCUUGGGCGAGUGUUCUGUCUACCAGGAGUUGGUGUUUGGCUUCUCUGGUAUCCUUACCAAUGCCCUUCUGUGCUUCGCUCAUGUAUUGACCCAUGUGCCCACUUAUCUUAGCUGCGAUGAUGCCUGACAUGAGCUUCCAUGUUGUGGAGAGGCAGGUUAUUGGCCGGUAGUUGGAUGGGACUGUACCCUUUUUUGAGGGAUCCUUCAUUAUCAGGAUUGUUCGCUCUUCGGUUAGCCAUUCAGGGUGGGUCCCAUCCCUUAGCAGCUGGUUCAUUUGUGCUGCCAGGCGCUCAUGGGUUGCAGUGAGCUUUUUUAGCCUGUAGGCAUGGAUCAUGUCAGGGCCGGGUGCUGUCCAGUUUUUCAUACCUGAGACUCUGUUGGAUGUCUGCCACUGUGAUAGUCACAGGAUUCUGUUCAGGGAGGUUGCUGUGGUCUUCCCUCAGGUCCACCAGCCACUGUGCAUCACUGUUGUGUGAUGCCUUCCUUUCCCAUAUACCUUUCCAGCACUGUUCAGUUUCCAGCCUUGGUGGGUCUGCUCUGCUGUUAUUACCCUGCCAUUGAGAUACACUUCGCAGGUUGUGUUGCGAACAGCCGGUUUAUUCGUCUGGCUUUGUUGUCUCUUGUGUUUCUCUUUAGGCGGCUGGCCAAGGCUUGUAGCCUUUGCUUGGCAGUUUCGAGUGCUUCAGGUAUGGUCAUCUGGCUGUACCUUUUUUGGGCAUCGAUCAUUUCAUUGUACCUCUCUGGGCCUCUGUCAUUUGGCUCACUUCCCUCCGAGCUGCCUAGAUUUUUGCCUCCAACCUUCGUUUCCAUGGUGGGUAUUUUUUCACAUGUUUUUUCUCAUGCUGCAUUCACAUCUUCCAUGAGACUUUCUGAUGGUACUUCACUUAGUCGUUGUAGUUGGCUUCGGGUUUGCCUGUACAAUCUCGCCAUGAUCUUAUCUUUCAGCUCAGUCGCUGCCUCGUUCAGCGUAUCUGUGCUCAUUGGGGCUUCGUACCCAAUUUCCGGUUGGGGAGAUGGUGAAACCUCCCCUCUGACCUGGCGUCCUGGCUUCUCUAUUUGCCAUAGCAUUUGUGUUGUAUCUCGUCAUUCUCAAGUUGUGAUAGCAGUUGCCGUUUGUGGAUGUUGGAACACUGAGCUACUAGUUGCUUCGCAGUCAGCCUUGAAUGUGGGUUUCUCCCUUACCAUUCACCGCACAUUCUUUGCAUGUAACCCCUCUGACUAGGGUUUACUUGAGUAGUAGCAUUCCAACAGAGCCUUGUUCUCGCAUCUUAGCCAUUUCUUGGCUAAGAUGCGUGCUAAAGCUAAAAUUUCGUGGCUUGUUCCAGUAGCCCACUUUUCGCCAAGGUGCUCUGGUUCCCCAACACCUGACGCAGACCUUGUUAGAGUGGGCGACGUCUGAGCCGGUAUCUCAUAUGGUUCAUUGUCUCUCAUCAUUAUGAGGUAGGCGGUGGCUUGAAGGGUCUUGCCCAAGGACCCACACUGGAUGCUUAUUCGCCUUAACGAGGAUUUGAACCGGGGACCACCCGGUUAUUUUAUAUAUAUAUAUAUAUAUAUAUAUAUAUAUAUA